UCACAAAUUAUGAAUUACGAUAAUGGCUCGUGUAUUUUUGAAUUCAUCUUUAGAUCAUAGACAAUUGAUAUCACGUGGUUUUCAGGAUUUGUACCCGGUUUAUGGCGCUAGGCUCGCCCCCUGUUACAUGGGACUUGAACACAGCUGGCGAGGAGUGCGUGUUUUAAAUAGUGAUGUGCCGGAUCGUUAAAAAUGUAUAUCCGCGGAUACGGAUACAAAUGCGGAUCUUUAUUUUCUUAAAAAAAAGAUUAAAGUUUUAGUUAUUUUAUUGUUAAGUGUGAUAUUUUAUCUUGCUUUCAUUAUGAAGACCUAUCUAUCUAAAUGUUUGCAAUAUAAAGGUGCCAAAUAUUUGAUUUUAAGAAAUAAAAACAAUCUGAAUGGAAUUUUAUAGUUUUUUAUAUAAAAAUUCUACUUAAUCAUUUGAAAAAGAUCCGCGUGAAAAGUAACGGACACGGAUACGGAUUUUUCUUUUAUCUCGGAUAUCCGCGGAUACGGAUACGGAUAUUCGGAACAUCACUAGUUUUAAACAAUAUAUCUCUGCCUACCCCUUCGGGUAUACAGGCGUGAUGCUACACUAUGUUGUUAUUUACAAUAAGACACAUGUGCUCAGCGGUGAAGGAAAACGUCGUGAGGAAACACACAUUCCUGAGAGCAUUUUCGGAGGUAUGUGACCUAACCUGUAUCGGGCUGGUUUUCCCUUCGCGGGUAGGAAGGUCGGACGGGCAGUCGUGUCUGUAAAAAGCGAACCUGUUAAAUCUUCAGGAGAUGAAAAUAAGACUUAUAUGGAAAACAGAUUGUAAUAAAUGAAUCUCUUGACUUAAAUACUCAAAAUUAUCACAAAAUGUUUGUUUAAGAAUAAUGAUUAUAAUUUAUUGCGUAGCUUCUUUAAGCUUAAAACAUGAUUUAAAUAUUGUCAAAAAAGUAUUUAAAAGAAAAUCGAAUUGCGGGCCCCUACACUACUCUAACGUUUUAUGAAAAUCGACAAGGUUUGAAUCGAACCCGGAUCUCCAGAUAAUGAGCCCAACGCUCUAACCACUAGACCAAGUAUGCUGUUCUCCUCACAAAUAAUCAAAUAAGAUUAUGAGGAAAAUUAAUAAAAUAAAAAAUCACACUUUUUUGGUUAUUGCUUUUUUCUUUUAAAUGUAAUUUUGACAACCCAGUUUCAGAACGCUAUCUUUAUUUUUUUUUAUUUAUUACGUGUUGUGUGGCCAUAUUUGUGAAAUAUUGAAUAAAACAUGCAUUUAUUAUUUAUAUUAUAUUUUUUAAGCACUGUUUAAACUUAGUGUAGUGGAGAAGCUUUUUGCUGAAUUAAAAAUGUCAUUUAUUUUUAAUUUUAUUUUAACAUUGUUUUAAGUUUACGCGGUUAUUAUCAUAAAUAAAGCACAUAAUAACGGGAGAACACCGCCGCCCGUUGGCGGCCGUUAUUAUGUGCUUUAAUUAUUUUAUUUUAACUUUAAAACGUUGGGUGUUCCUAAAUUUUGACAGUUCUCCAUACUGGCCUCGAUUCCUGCAGACACUUCCUAAUUUUACUUUAAGUUAUACCUGUCAUUUUCUUAUCCACCGAAAAGAAAAGGGACGGAUGAUUGGCAGCUCUUAAUUUUAGGAAGAAUGAGUAAAUGAAUGGAUAACACGGGCGAAUCAAAAAGGUAUCUCGCUGGUAUUAAAACCGUUUAACGUGUGCUGUCUUAAUUCUGUCGGGUUUUUGGCCAAUAUAACAUUUUUAGACGGUUGUUUUAGAUUUGUGCUUAAAAUUGACGUGUGUUCAAUAAAUUUUAUGCUUGUCCAUUGUCCCUUUCCUUUUCGGCGGAUAAGAAAAUGACAGAUAUAACUUAAAAUUAGAUGGUGUUUACAGGGAUUAGCACCACUGUCCAGCUAAAAUUCGUGAUAAAUUGCUACAAAAUGUGGAGCAAGGUGGAGUGUAUCCCGUCUGGAGGAUGAGUUACGAAAAAGAAAACCCAUCAGUUGGAAAAAGGCAAUUUUGAAAAUAAGUUUUCCUAAGUUUAUUUCUUUCCGAUCUUUAGGGAAUAAAUAUGACAUUAUGAUUUUGCAGUUAAACACUGCGCAAAGGGUUAUAGCGUAAAAAUAUAACCAAAACAAUUAUGUUAGUUUACUCAAAUAGUAUGGGGAACUGUCAAAAUUUAAGCACACUAACAAUAAGUACGACUUUUUCCGACAGAGGGAUUGUGUCCUCUAACAUGAUGGACUAAUGUUAUGGGCGAUAGGCUGAUCCCUUAUCACCAUAAGGUUCAUCAUAUCCAGCUUACGACAUCGUAUCAACAGUGGCUGCAAGUUGUCUUUGAUUACUUGUGGCUCUGCCCACCCCAUUAGGGAUUACGGGCGUGAGUUUAUGUAUGUAUGUAUGUAUGUGUAAGUACAUCCAUCGCAAGAUGAACUAAGUACCCACACUUCACCGUGAUAGGUGAUGAGCCGUAUCGCCCUCUGUUACGGUCGAGCCAGCUGUAUUAUACUUAACAGUUAAACUAAAUGUUUAACUUUAGAACAUUUCAGGUUGAAAUAGCUUGGUUGUCCGAAAAAGUAAGAUUAUUUCGUGCUUCGGAAGGCACGUUGGUUUCGGCUACUAGCCGUAAACACACCUCCACUAACCUGCAAUGGAGCUGCGUGGUGGAGUAUGCUCCAUAUCCGCGUUCGGUUGAAGGGAGGCAUGUGCCCAGCAGUGGGACGCAUAUAGGCUUGUGGCGCGGACCGAACUAGUUGGCCAGCUAGUUCCGCCCGCAUGCAACAGAUGGCGCCACACUCAAUAAUGCAGUCGUCAAGCAGUCGUGAAACGCGCUAUCGAAGUUUACACAGCAAGACGCAUAUAUACAACUUCCAACAUAACGCCGUUGGAUCGUUGAUCCUUAGUCAUACUACCAACAUGUGGCUAGCGGGGUACUAUAUUUAAUUGUAAAUAGUAAUACAAAAAACAGUCUUAAUACUGAGAUUACACGAGUUACAUUAAAUUAAUAUCAAACUUGAUGUAUUUGGCAAGUCUAAUACUAUUUGCGUAUUGGCCCCGAUUCCUGUACACACCAUCUAAUUUUAUUUUAAGCUGUACCUGUCAUUUUCUUAUCCGCCGAAAAGGAAAGGAACGGAUGCUCGACAGGCCUAAAAUUUACAGAACACGUAAAUUUUAAGCAGAGAUUUAUAAGCUCCCAAAAUUUUACAUCGGCUAAUAACCCGACAGAAUUAAGAUGACAGCACACGUGAAAACGUUUUGCAUAUCAGCGAGAUGCCGUAUUCAUUCAUUCACUCAUUCAUUUUAAAAUUAACAAUUGUCAAGUCCCUUUCCUUUUCGACGGAUAAGAAAACGAUGGUGUACAACUUAAAAUAAAAAUUAGGUGUCUGCAGGAAUCGGGGCCAUUAAAAAUAUUCGAGUAUUUUUAUAUACUAAAAACAUCCAUUUAUUAAUAGGUUUGGUUUACAAAAGCGAUUAACAUCAGGCCUUGCAAUCCUAUGGGCUCCGCUGCCGCGUCAUACAAUAAAGAAUACUACGUAUAGAACGGCAACUAAGCACCCACCAGUGGCUGAGCUGAAGUUUACCUCACCCCCGUAUAGAGUCAGACGUCACACACUCAGAUGCGCGUAUACGAUAACGUCAUUGUGUAGUGUCUGUGUAAAACGAGGUGUUUUGUACGAGGUGUCCGGUGUGCGGCCUUGCUCAGCACUGGUGGACAGGCAGCCUUAGUAUUUGAUAUCAAUUUAAAAAACAUGAAAACAAACUGUUUCAAUGUUAUAUUUUGUCCCGGGAUUCGAACCCUUAAUCUGAAACACUACAACAUUGGCUUCAUGCAUUGUAUUUUAAUUAUUAUUAGGUAUCAAUAUUUAAUACGUCAUAAAUCAAUCACAAAUAAAUAUUGCACACACAACUAACGUAUCUAAUAUAAUACCAUCAUAAUUAUAAAAGAUUUUACUAAACAAUUUUAUAAAUAAGCUUCACAUACUUACAUUGUUUUAAGUUUACGCGGUUAUUAUCAUAAUUAAAACACAUAAUAAAAAAAUAAUUAUAAUUAAUCUCAUCAGUCAUCCCGUGAUCAUGGCACUUGCAACAGUGUCGAAAUAUCGGGAGUCUCACAUCCCCAUUUAAACGCGGUAAGAACCCGUUAUUAUGUGUUUUAAUUAAGCUUCACAUGUAUACAUAAGCUAUGUAUAGUAUAUCUAAUAGAAGCUAUCUAUGUAUACAGUAGCUCAAUAAUAACCCUGACACCAGGGUUAAUGAGGUUGGUAAUUUACCUCACGACCCACACGAUAGAAGAUGUGUAUAGAAUACAGGGUGUUAGUGACAUCGUAAUGAAUACUUUAAAAACACACAAAAAUAAACAUGAAUUUUGCGACAGAAUUCCAUUUGAUAUCAACUCUGAAUCGUGGUCUGAAUCAUCCCUCAAAGUUUUCGUUACGAUGUCA
rnacentral:lncRNA from 1 species